UACGGAGGAUCCAAGCGUCAUCCGGAAUCAUUGGGUUCAAAGGGUCCGUAGGCGGUCUGGUAAGUCAGUGGUGAAAGCCCAUCGCUCAACGGUGGAACGGCCAUUGAUACUGCUGGACUUGAAUUACUGGGAAGUAACUAGAAUAUGUAGUGUAGUGGUGAAAUGCUUAGAGAUUACAUGGAAUAUCAAUUGCGAAGGCAGGUUACUACCAGUGGAUUGACGCUGAUGGACGAAAGCGUGGGUAGCGAACAGG
rnacentral:rRNA from 1 species